CUGCGGCAGCGACGCUUAUGCGUUGUUGGGUAGGGGAGCGUUCUGUAAGCCUGCGAAGGUGGCCUGUGAGGGUUGCUGGAGGUAUCAGAAGUGCGAAUGCUGACAUAAGUAACGAUAAAGCGGGUGAAAAGCCCGCUCGCCGGAAGACCAAGGGUUCCUGUCCAACGUUAAUCGGGGCAGGGUGAGUCGACCCCUAAGGCGAGGCCGAAAGGCGUAGUCGAUGGGAAACAGGUUAAUAUUCCUGUACUUGGUGUUACUGCGAAGGGGGGACGGAGAAGGCUAUGUUGGCCGGGCGACGGUUGUCCCGGUUUAAGCGUGUAGGUGUGUGUUCCAGGUAAAUCCGGUUCACUUUAACACUGAGGCGUGACGACGAGGCACUACGGUGCUGAAGCAACAAAUGCCCUGCUUCCAGGAAAAGCCUCUAAGCAUCAGGUAACAUCAAAUCGUACCCCAAACCGACACAGGUGGUCAGGUAGAGAAUACCAAGGCGCUUGAGAGAACUCGGGUGAAGGAACUAGGCAAAAUGGUGCCGUAACUUCGGGAGAAGGCACGCUGACACGUAGGUGAAGUGAUUUACUCAUGGAGCUGAAGUCAGUCGAAGAUACCAGCUGGCUGCAACUGUUUAUUAAAAACACAGCACUGUGCAAACACGAAAGUGGACGUAUACGGUGUGACGCCUGCCCGGUGCCGGAAGGUUAAUUGAUGGGGUCAGCGCAAGCGAAGCUCCUGAUCGAAGCCCCGGUAAACGGCGGCCGUAACUAUAACGGUCCUAAGGUAGCGAAAUUCCUUGUCGGGUAAGUUCCGACCUGCACGAAUGGCGUAAUGAUGGCCAGGCUGUCUCCACCCGAGACUCAGUGAAAUUGAACUCGCUGUGAAGAUGCAGUGUACCCGCGGCAAGACGGAAAGACCCCGUGAACCUUUACUAUAGCUUGACACUGAACAUUGAGCCUUGAUGUGUAGGAUAGGUGGGAGGCUUUGAAGCGUGGACGCCAGUCUGCGUGGAGCCGACCUUGAAAUACCACCCUUUAAUGUUUGAUGUUCUAACGUGGACCCGUAAUCCGGGUUGCGGACAGUGUCUGGUGGGUAGUUUGACUGGGGCGGUCUCCUCCUAAAGAGUAACGGAGGAGCACGAAGGUUGGCUAAUCCUGGUCGGACAUCAGGAGGUUAGUGCAAUGGCAUAAGCCAGCUUGACUGCGAGCGUGACGGCGCGAGCAGGUGCGAAAGCAGGUCAUAGUGAUCCGGUGGUUCUGAAUGGAAGGGCCAUCGCUCAACGGAUAAAAGGUACUCCGGGGAUAACAGGCUGAUACCGCCCAAGAGUUCAUAUCGACGGCGGUGUUUGGCACCUCGAUGUCGGCUCAUCACAUCCUGGGGCUGAAGUAGGUCCCAAGGGUAUGGCUGUUCGCCAUUUAAAGUGGUACGCGAGCUGGGUUUAGAACGUCGUGAGACAGUUCGGUCCCUAUCUGCCGUGGGCGCUGGAGAACUGAGGGGGGCUGCUCCUAGUACGAGAGGACCGGAGUGGACGCAUCACUGGUGUUCGGGUUGUCAUGCCAAUGGCACUGCCCGGUAGCUAAAUGCGGAAGAGAUAAGUGCUGAAAGCAUCUAAGCACGAAACUUGCCCCGAGAUGAGUUCUCCCUGAGACUUAGAGUCUCCUGAAGGAACGUUGAAGACGACGACGUUGAUAGGCCGGGUGUGUAAGCGCAGCGAUGCGUUGAGCUAACCGGUACUAAUGAACCGUGAGGCUUAACCUUAC
rnacentral:rRNA from 1 species